rnacentral:rRNA from 1 species
UACGAAGGGGACUAGCGUUGUUCGGAAUUACUGGGCGUAAAGCGCACGUAGGCGGAUUUGUAAGUCAGGGGUGAAAUCCCGGGGCUCAACCUCGGAACUGCCUUUGAUACUGCAAAUCUCGAGUCCGAUAGAGGUGGGUGGAAUUCCUAGUGUAGAGGUGAAAUGCGUAGAGAUCAGGAGGAACACCCGUGGCGAAGGCGGCUCUCUGGUCGACAUCUGACGCUGAGACGCGAAAGCGUGGGGAGCGAACGGG